rnacentral:lncRNA from 1 species
UUAGGUGCUGUUGUAGGAGCAAGGGAUACAAUGAUGAUCAAGGCAGAUGCAGCCGUUACCUUCAGGUUGUGGAGUCCGGAUACAGACUGGAGGCAGGCAGCUGUAAGAUGUGUGAGAAAUGCUGCGCUGGAUCAGCCCAUGGUAUUAGGAGAGCAGGCUUCGGUAGAUUGCAAAUGACCUGCUUUCUUUCGGAUCCCGGGCUGCUUUCGGACACCUGUCGAAUAGUAAAUCCCAAGUAAGGUACCUGCGGUCGUCGGCAGAUCUGAAUUUUCUUCUUGGACACCUAAUACCCACAGUCCUCCAGAGACCGAGAGGUUGAUGUCACUCCCAAUAUCGGAGGAAGUAUACACCCCCGUGUGAGAUGGUCCUUAAUAAUAUUCCACGGCGGAGGGGGUGAUAUGACUACAUACAUGGCAGAAAGUGGAAACCUCCCAGGGAUAUUGUUCCCACGAUCCUGGAGGGAAGAAGAUGAUGUUACUUUCAAUAUGACAGAAGGUGGAUGAAGUGGUGGACUGCCCCUCCACACCUGUGGACACGCCCCCACUGAUAUUCCUUCUAAUUGCAGCGUGGGAGAGGAGGAUAUGACACGCGAUAUCGCAGGGAGUAGAAACACCCCUGUGAUACUGUUCUUAAUAUUCAGGGAGGAAGAGGAUGAUAUUACUCCCAAUACAGACGGGUGUACACCCUCUGUACACCGAGGGUGUACACCUGUCUGUGAAAGAGUUCGUAAUCUCCAGAGGGGGAGAUGAUAUUACUCACAAUAUGGUAAAGAGGCUGUGAGUCCACGGAGGAUCCUCAGAGCCAGCGGGGGAAGAGGGGCUGGCUCUCAGUCCCCGCCUCGCGGGGGUGACUCCCCCCAGUGCGAUGGGGGUCCUAAGAGCCAGUGGGGGAAGAGGGGCUGGCUCUGAGACCCCGCCUCGCGGGGGGUGCCUCCCCGCCCUGUGAUGGGGGUCCGAAGAGCCAGAAGGCUUAGAGGGGCUGGCUCUCAGUCCCCGCCUCGCGGGGGGUGCCUCCUCCCCCUGCGAUGGGGGUCGUAAGAGCCACUGGGGGAAUAGGGGCUUGCUCUCAGUCACCGCCUCGCGGGGGGUGCCUCCUUUCCUUUCUACAUAGACACAGUGACAGUCUGAUCUCUCUUUCUUUUCCCUACAGAUGGACACGCCCCCACUGAUAUUGUUUUUAAUGCAGCGUGGGAGGGGAGGAUAUGACACGCGAUAUCGCAGCUGAGUGCCACGUGCUGACGUCACUAAGAUCAAUACAGCAAACUCUGAAAGAUGGACAGAGAGACAGGAGAUGGUCCUUUAUAAUGCAGUGUGAUCUGUGCUGCAAUAGAGUUUUGGAAGCUAGAAGUUCAAAACGAGGUGUUGGCAGCACCAUGCUCUCUCUGAAGAUGCUAGGAAGAAUCUGCUCCAUGCCUUUCCAUUCGCUUCUGGGGUUUCCUGCAAGCCCUGACAUUCCUUGGCUUGUAGAUGCAUCACCCCAGUUUCCGCCCCCAUCAUCACAUGGCCUCCUCUCUGUGUGUGCCUCUGCGUUCCCUCUAUUCUUCUUCUAAGGACACCGACACCAGUCAUAGUGGAUUAAGUGUCCACUCCUAACCAAUUACAUCUGCAACAACCCUAUUUCCAAAUAAAGUCACAUUCUAAG